rnacentral:rRNA from 1 species
GGGGAUGCAAGCGUUAUCCGGAAUCAUUGGGCGUAAAGCGCCUGUAGGUUGUUUAAUAAGUCUGUUGUUAAAGACUAGGGCUUAACCCUAGAAAAGCAAUGGAAACUACUAGACUAGAGUAUGGCAGGGGUAGAGGGAAUUUCUAGUGUAGCGGUGAAAUGCGUAGAUAUUAGAAAGAACACCGGUGGCGAAAGCGCUCUACUGGACCAUUUACUGACACUCAGAGGCGAAAGCUAGGGUAGCAAAAGGGAUUAGAUACCCCUGUAGUCCUAGCCGUAAACGAUGGAUACUACAUGUUGUGUUUAUUUCACAGUAUGGUAGCUAACGCGUUAAGUAUCCCGCCUGGGGAGUACGCUCGCAAGGGUGAAACUCAAAGGAAUUGACGGGGGCCCGCACAAGCGGUGGAGCAUGUGGUUUAAUUCGAUGCAACGCGAAGAACCUUACCAGGGCUUGACAUACUGCGAAUCUUUCCGAAAGGAAAGAGUGCCUUCGGGAAUGCAGAUACAGGUGGUGCAUGGCUGUCGUCAGCUCGUGUCGUGAGAUGUUGGGUUAAGUCCCGCAACGAGCGCAACCCUUGUUUUUAGUUACCAAUUCGUUGGGUUUUCUAGAAAGACUGCCGGUGACAAACCGGAGGAAGGUGAGGAUGACGUCAAGUCAGCAUGCCCCUUAUGUCCUGGGCUACACACGUGCUACAAUGGUUAGGACAAAGAGUUGCGAGCUUGUGAAAGUCAGCUAAUCUCGUAAACCUAACCCCCAGUUCAGA